CGGGAUGUGGCUCAGUCUGGUAGAGCACCUGCUUCGGGGGUAGGGGGUCGGAGGUUCGAAUCCUCUCAUCCCGACCA
rnacentral:tRNA from 1 species